rnacentral:lncRNA from 1 species
CAGUGUACAACAACAUACCUAUUAGACAGCAAAUUUGUAAGGUUACAGAACUUAAAUAUAGAAUUAGACAAAAUUAUAAUCACAAAAACCCACUAAAUAAUAUAAUACAGAAAAAAGAACAUAACAAAAAUGAAUAAAAUCAGAUGAUGAUCCACGAAAACCAACUUAACAUCUACAUAAAUAUAUAGACAAAAUAAUAAAAAAAAAACUAACUCAAACGACAAACUAUGCCUAACAUUCACUCGAUUCGGCCCUCACCCGGAAAUAA